UACGAAGGGGGCUAGCGUUACUCGGAUUGACUGGGCGUAAAGGGCGCGUAGGCGGUUUGUACAGUCAGACGUGAAAUUCCUGGGCUCAACCUGGGGGCUGCGUUUGAUACGUGCAGACUUGAAUUCGGAAGAGGGUCGUGGAAUUCCCAGUGUAGAGGUGAAAUUCGUAGAUAUUGGGAAGAACACCGGUGGCGAAGGCGGCGACCUGGUCCGAUACUGACGCUGAGGCGCGAAAGCGUGGGGAGCAAACAGG
rnacentral:rRNA from 1 species